CUUCUUAACAAAAUAAAAAAAGGUCUCUGGACCAUUCCUCCCAUUCCAUCCAUGUUCCAUACCGCUCAUCAGUCCCUACAGGAUUGCGUGGAGUUUUUGGUGAUUUUGCUGCAGCUUUUUUCAAAAUUUGCAAUAUGAUGGGUGUUGGUAAAUUAGACCUUUCAGCUGUACUCAUGCUCGACACAACUGAAUCAAAGAGGGCUUGGGUUCAUGCGCAUCGUGAAGACAUCACAUGACACAUCUUGGCCCAAAUCUGUGCAAAAUCUGCAGUAAUUUUGAAAAAACGGUUAUGGGGAGCCUGGAGUCUAUCCCAGGGGACCGGGGCACAAGGCGGGGGACACCCUGGACAGGGUACCAACCCAUAGCUGGGCACAAUCGCACACACAUUCACACACUAUGGACAAUUUGGAAAUGCCAUUCAGUCUACAAUGCAUGUCUUUGGACUGGGGACUGGAGGAGGAAACCAGAGUACCUGGAGGGAGCUCCAAAAAGCAUGGGGAGAACACGCAAACUCUGCACACACAGGGUGGAGACUGGAUUCCAACCCCAAACCAGGUUUAACAUGGUUUUGCGCACAAAGCAUCCACACAUCUUCCCACAUCUGGCACUGAAGAUGUUGUCCAAGUAAACAGAUGAUAUUAUAAGACCUCCUACCAUAAGAAGAGAAGGUCACAAUGACUCUCCAAGGAUCCUGAGUUCGAGUUACUAUCUCCAGGUUCUCUGGUUUCUUAGCAUUC
ensembl:lncRNA